rnacentral:rRNA from 1 species
GACGAACGCUGGCGGCGUGCUUAACACAUGCAAGUCGAACGAUGAAGCGCCUUCCUUUCUGGUCGGUGUGGAGGCGUGGCGCACGGGUUAGUAACACGAGAGUAACCUUCCCCCUUCUGCGGGAUAACCGCAUGAAAGUGUGGCUACUACAGGAUAUUCUGGACCUUUCGCAUGAUGGGUCUGGGAGAGAUAUUGUUUCGGUUGGGGAUGGUCUCGCGGCCUAUCAGCUUGUUGGUGUGAUGAUGGCCUACCAAGGCGGUGACGGAUAGCCGACCUGAGAGGGUGGACGGUGCUAAUGGGGAUAAGCGGUCGCCAAGACUCCAACGGGAGGCAGCCGUGGGGAAUAUUGAACGGAGGGGGAAAGCUGGAUGCAACGACGCGGGGGGAGGGAUGGAGGUCUUCGGGUAGUACACGUCUUUCGCGAGUGAAGCAGUGCUGCAUCGUUUGUGGGUGGGUUGACGGUAGCUGGAUAAGAAGCCCCGGCUAACUACGUG